GAUGAACGCUGGCGGCGUGCCUAAUACAUGCAAGUCGAGCGAACGGACGAGAAGCUUGCUUCUCUGAUGUUAGCGGCGGACGGGUGAGUAACACGUGGAUAACCUACCUAUCAGACUGGGAUAACUUCGGGACACCGGAGCUAAUACCGGAUAAUAUUUUGAACCGCAUGGUUCAAAAGUGAAAGACGGUCUUGCUGUCACUUAUAGAUGGAUCCGCGCUGCAUUAGCUAGUUGGUAAGGUAACGGCUUACCAAGGCAACGAUGCAUAGCCGACCUGAGAGGGUGAUCGGCCACACUAGAACUGAGACACGGUCCAGACUCCUACGGGAGGCAGCAGUAGGGAAUCUUCCGCAAUGGGCGAAAGCCUGACGGAGCAACGCCGCGUGAGUGAUGAAGGUCUUCGGAUCGUAAAACUCUGUUAUUAGGGAAGAACAUAUGUGUAAGUAACUGUGCACAUCUUGACGGUACCUAAUCAGAAAGCCACGGCUAACUACGUG
rnacentral:rRNA from 1 species